rnacentral:rRNA from 1 species
UCAGCAAGCCGCGGUNUACGUAGGGUGCGAGCGUUAAUCGGAAUUACUGGGCGUAAAGCGUGCGCAGGCGGCUUUGCNAGACAGAUGUGAAAUCCCCGGGCUCAACCUGGGAACUGCAUUUGUGACUGCAAGGCUAGAGUACGGCAGAGGGGGAUGGAAUUCCGCGUGUAGCAGUGAAAUGCGUAGAUAUGCGGAGGAACACCGAUGGCGAAGGCAAUCCCCUGGGCCUGUACUGACGCUCAUGCACGAAAGCGUGGGGAGCAAACAGGAUUAGAUACCCUGGUAGUCCACGCCCUAAACGAUGUCAACUGGUUGUUGGACGGCUUGCUGUUCAGUAACGAAGCUAACGCGUGAAGUUGACCGCCUGGGGA